rnacentral:tRNA from 1 species
GCCGGAGUGGCGAAACUGGCAGACGCGCUAGACUCAAAAUCUGGUGAGAGCGAUCUCGUGUGGGUUCGAGUCCCACCUCCGGUACCA